rnacentral:lncRNA from 1 species
UGCAUGUAGUGUCCCCAGAGUGUAGGUUUUGCAAGCCAUAUAACUCUGCCAGUGCCUGGUAGCACAGACAGCUUUCCUGUCAUCUGACUCAUGUAGUACAACUGGCUGGGCUGCCACAAUGCCCAGAUCUUGCAAUGCAGAUGGAUUCUUUUCCAGCCUCCUGCCAUGUUCACACCUUCUCCACUGCCAUCUUCUGCAGUGCAUGGUGGCGGCAGCACCCAUCAACCUUAGCUUCCCCUGGCAAUUCCCUCGGCCAGUUUUGUAGUAGAGUGCCUCAGUGAAACACCUUCCCAUGAGCAGCUGGAAGUCAGCUGGGCUCUCCUUAUGCCAGGCCUGAAAACUCUCAAGCAGAUGAGAAAAUGGAGGUUUCAAGAAAUUCAAUAGCCUUGCCAUUGUCACCUGGCAAGUAAACAAUCAAAACAGAACUGUGAUGCAAACCAAGCACUGACUGACUCUGGAUGCCACCCUCCUCCCUACCUUGCUCAAGGAGCAUAGAAGUCAGGAGAGAGUUAUCUUAGGAACCUGAUAACGUGUUUGUGAUACCCCCUAGAAGGAUGAGUUGCUGCCAUUAGUCUGUGGACCUCCGACAAAAAAGCAUCUCCAGAGUACUGGGAAGCAAUUGACAUGCACACUUUGAGGGGGUUCUGAGGAAUGGAAGAGGGCACAGAGAGUCACCAGUGUGUGACUGUGUGUUUUCUGAAAGGCGGUUUUCUGUGACUCUCAUUACCAAGCAAGGUCACACAGAUGUACACAUGUAGACAGCCUGAGACUAAAAAUAAUUUAAAUUCUUAACAGAAGUAUGACAUCUGACAUCUUUAAAAGAUGAGGUCCUUAAUUUAUGAAAGCAUUUCAUGGGAAGACAAAUGAAAAAUGAACGUGGGGAAGGAGAACAGACUGUAUAUGUAAGUGUUUAAAGAAGAGAAAGAGACUUUUUAGAAGAGAAAGAAAAAAUUAGAAAAAAAAGAGGAAAGAGAAAAAAAGCAAAAUGCACAGGUACAGAAAUUGAAUACAAGUAUAAGAAGGUUUCCUUUAUAAAUAAAGGAGUGUUUACCUCCUGAGUUUAAUCAGGUUGCCUCCUAUGCACUUCCGCCAAUCAUGUGCAGUGAGCAAGCCUGCGUUCGGGCAGGCCAGUCUCCCCUUCCUGUGCACUUUCUCCAUUUUCCGUAUAAUCUCUUCCACUUUGCAAUGUUGAAGUUUAGCACUUUCUGUCAUCAAAGCCAGCUCAUGAAGACAACGUAUUUUCAGUGGUUUUUACAUUUAAUGUGAAUUUAUGUCAAACUAGUGGCUCCCUCAGGGGUGUUGUGGCAUUUGUCACAAAAUUAACAAUAAAUGGUAGUAUCUAUUAUGUAAUGUGUUCAAAUUCUGUGCAAUGAUUCACAUGUGUUAUCUCCCUUAAUUUGCACCACCAUCUCACCAAGUAAGUGCUAUUUUAAACGUCUCUUUCUUACAGAUGGGGAAAGCUAGAGUGCUUAAGUAACCUGCUUAAAUUCAGAUAACAAAAAUCUGCAAUAAGGAGUCUAGGAGGGUGUCAGAGGGUGUAGGCUUCAGUCUUGACUGUGCUUCUUCAAUAUUUGACCUGAGCUGGUCAAUGAUUCUAGCUUCACCUCUGCUAAAUUAGGACAAUAAUACCAGUGCUCUCAAUCUUAUCCAAGGAAGGAUCUGCACCACUAAUGCCAGAUGCCAUAAGAACUGCAUAUUUUACCUUCUCUUCAUCUGAGGUUGGAAACAGUCACCCUGAAAACACAAUCUGAAGCAUGGGCAGCAGGAGAGAGUGGUCUGAUUUGUUUAAAGACUGUCCCCAUUUUGCAGGCUAUCAGGCCAAACAACUGCCCACCCUACCAGAUCUGCUGCAGGCAGGAGGCAAAUGACCCUUAUGCCCAGGGAUGACAAUGCAGGGAUAUAACCAACAGAUGGAGACAUCAGAAAGUCUCAGAGUGCAUAGAAGACAGACGACGCUCCAGAAGAUGUAUGAAGCAGCAAAGAGUGAAAAUUAGACUAGCUUUUUCUUUAAAAGCUGAUUAUAUUAGUUAGAAUUAGGAAAAGAUAAAUGAGACCCAAUUCUACAGUAAUUUAUAGAAUAUGUUAUACAUAAUGCAGUGACAAAGGGAAAGAAUGUUGGAAAGAGAUUGAAUUAAUUUUGAAUCUGGGUUUUACCCUUACCCUGUGACCCUGAAAAAUUAUCUGACCUCUCUGAGUUUCAGCUUCAUCAUGUUGUAUAAUGAAGAUAGUACCUUUUACAGACAUUGGGAGGAUUAAAUAUGAUGAUAUAGGAUGUUCUAUGUUCUUGUUAUUUGAGGAUAGUCAAUAACAGAGAAAUCAUUUAACAAUUAAGGUACUUUAAAUGGAUACUAAAAUUUCAUAGUACAUAAUGAUAGAAGGGUUUGAUUAAGAUUCUAAGCUGUCAUAAACUAAAGUUGUGAAAGGAUAUUUUAUUAACAAAGUUUAAGCUACAUUAAUAAUUGAGUUCUUGGAAUGAAUAAAAAUAGUUUGUGUUGAUAUUUUUGGGAAGGGUAUAUUUUUCUGAUAAAAUUAUGUUAAUAGCUUUACACACCACCCAAGAUUUAGGUUUGGCUUUGAUUCAAGAUCAUAAAUGGAGCCAUUAUUGCAGAAUUAAUUGAGAGUUUUAUACAUUAUUCCGAGGGUCUCUUAGUUUCUUGUCUUUCUUUUGAAGUGGCUCUGAUGUAAGCUUAUGUUUUUCCCUCUUCUUUAGUAAUUAAUAAUUUUAAUUUCUGUUAAAUUCUAAACUGACAAUGACUUUAGGUGUGAUGAAAAGCUUUACAUCAUCAGUUUCACUGACUUCAUGGAAUCCUAUAUCCUUCCUAAGACUGGCAAUUUCACUUGCAAUAAAUAUGCACUGUAUUUGCAUGGUAUAUCCAUUGUUUAUAUGACCAGAUGUUUAUGGGAAAAUUUAUUGGGUUCUGCAUUCAUGUAAUGGGUGGGGAUGGACACUAGUGUUAAUUUGGGAAAAAGUGUAUCAGAAUGAGGACUAAGGUUAUAAGUAAAUACUUUCAUGUUGCUGUGGUCUCUGCUUGUCUUCAGAAUCCAGUAACUGCAAGGUGACCAAUAGUGAACACUGGGACAAAGAGUUUCAUUAGUUUAUGUAAAUUACAGUACCUGACACACAGUAAAAACUCGAUAACUUGGCAGCCAUUAUCAUUAGCAGUGAAGAAGAAUUUGCCUUACAGUCGUGUCAUGUAACAUACAGUUUCAGGCUCUCCUCAGCACCAGAUGCAUUUAGUAAAUGAGGAAAUAAUAAAAAGAAAUGUAGAAAUUCUUUCUAUAUAGUUCAGUAGAAAGAACUGUAUCAUGAGAGCUUAACUUGAAAAGGUAAGUGUGCUCCUGUGACAUUGUGAAUCUUAGCUGAAGUGAUGAUUAAUAAAGUUACUUUUUAUGAUAGCAAAAACUUUUCAAAAAUGUUUAGAAUAGGUUUGGGAGAA